UCCGAUAUGGUGUAGUGGCCAACAUGAUGCCCUCUCAUCUUGUGGGAGGUUAGGCAUAGCCCCGAGUUCGAUUCUCGGUUUCGGAA
rnacentral:tRNA from 1 species